rnacentral:lncRNA from 1 species
GUUCUUAUGUUGUACUGUUAUACCACUCUCCCAGGUUAGGGGGAGGGUUCGGAUCCCGCUAAAAUGUUUAACCCCGCCACAUUAUUUAUGUAUGUGCCUGUCCCAAGUCAGGAGCCUGUAAUUCAGUGGUUGUCGUUUGUUUAUGUGUUACAUAUUUGUUUUUCGUUCAUUUUUUUUCAUAAAUAAGGCCGUUAGUUUUCUCGUUUGAAUUGUUUUACAUUGUCUUAUCGGGGCCUUUUAUAGCCGACUAU